UACGUAGGAGACGAGCGUUGUCCGGAGUUACUGGGCGUAAAGGGUGCGCAGGCGGUCCGUCGCGUGGGUGGUGAAAUCUCCUGGCUCAACUGGGAGGGGGCCAUCCAAACGGGCGGACUUGAGGCGUGGAGAGGGACGUGGAAUUCCGGGUGGAGCGGUGAAAUGCGUAGAGAUCCGGAGGAACACCGACGGCGAAGGCAGCGUCCUGGCCACGACCUGACGCUCAGGCACGAAAGCUGGGGGAGCAAACAGG
rnacentral:rRNA from 1 species